AUGGCGAACCCCUCUGAUGCUCACACCGCCACAAGCGGGGACGGCGCGGCAGCCGCUAAGGCCGAUCUGGGAGAAUUUUUUGAUCAACUCGAUCUCAACGAUGAAGAAUUUGACGAUGUCGUGGUGGAUGAAGAUGAUCCAGAGAUCAAUGAGAGUGUUCGAUGGCUUGCACUAGUGAGGGUUCAUACACGGAAAACCUUCAGCCAAUCUGCUUUUUAUAAAGACAUGAGAGCAGCAUGGAAUCCAACGCAAAGUGUGAGGUUCCGCCCCAUCGGCCCUAAUCUGUUCGUUGUUCAGGCAUACUGCUUAGGGGAUUGGGAACACAUGUUGAUGCAGGGACCAUGGUUGUUCCGCAACUGGGCUGUUCUUUUGUGCCCGUAUGAUGGAUUCAGCAAUGCGGAGGGAAUCAGUUUUGUUCAUAUGCCUAUAUGGCUCCAGAUUCACAAGUUACCUAAAGUUUAUUGCAAGGAGGAGCUGGUUGUAAAACUUUUGAAGGAUGCAGGCGAGAUACUGGACAUGCAUUUGAAUGGUAAUACUCGCGGUGAUUAUGUGAGGGUGCGGGUUAAGCAUGAUAUCGACCGGCCGCUCACAAAGUAUGUUAGCAUUUUUCGCGGCAAGGAACGUCGAGUCUAUCUGGUCAGGUAUGAAAAGUUAGGAAGGUUUUGUAAAGUAUGUGGGCUGAUAGGGCAUGAGUUCAAGGAGUGUGGCUUGGGUAUUCAUGAUGAAACAAAGAUGAAGUAUGGGGACUGGCUGUAUGCCGAGGGGCCAAAUAAAACUCGUGUUAAUGGUCCUCCUCGGAAAAAUAGCGAUGAGAGAACUAGAGGAAAGCAAGACAUACAGCAGACCAAAGAUGGAGGCACAGAGAAGGAUCGUGAUGGGGAUAAUACAGAGCUAGCUGAUACGGCUUCAAGUCCAGUUAAAAGUCAUGGGGGCGGAUGGAGGUGGAUAAGGAUCCGAGAAAGCGGCUAA
rnacentral:rRNA from 1 species